GACUUUCCUCCUGUGAGCCAAUGAGGCCAGCUGGACUACGCCGAGACAACUGGGAGAGGCGCGGGACUCGCCCGUUCCGCGGAACGCCGGGAAGGGGUCACCUCCUGAUGAAGUUUCCGGUUCCGGUGUCAGCGGCGGUUGAAUUGCCAUGGCAAUGCGAUUCAUUGAUUCCAGGUAAAUCAGAGGAACAAGCAACAUGAACAGAAAUAUGUAGAAAAAGCUAUUAUGCAGAAGCAUAAUUGUUGUUUCAGAAGUCCAGCAUCUGGUGCACUUAACAAUAGAGAAUAUAUUAAACUCUUUCCAAAAUA
rnacentral:lncRNA from 1 species